rnacentral:rRNA from 1 species
CCUACGUGGGGCAGCAGUGGGGAAUAUUGCGCAAUGGGCGAAAGCCUGACGCAGCGACGCCGCGUGGGGGAUGAAGGUCUUCGGAUCGUAAACCUCUGUCAGCAGGGAAGAACGGUCACUGUGCUAAUCAGCAGUGAAUUGACGGUACCUGCAAAGGAAGCACCGGCUAACUCCGUGCAAACAGCCGCGGUAAUACGGAGGGUGCGGGCGUUAAUCGGCAUUACUGGGCGUAAAGCGCUCGUAGGCGGUAUGUCAAGUCAAGGGUGAAAUCCCCGCGCUCAACGUGGGAACUGCCUUUGAAACUGGCAAACUGGAGUGUGUGAGAGGAUAGUGGAAUUCCAGGUGUAGGAGUGAAAUCCGUAGAUAUCUGGAGGAACAUCAGUGGCGAAGGCGACUAUCUGGCACAUAACUGACGCUGAGGAGCGAAAGCGUGGGUAGCAAACAGGAUUAGAUACCCCAGUAGUC